rnacentral:lncRNA from 1 species
GGCUCAUAAAAACACAACGCUCUGUCCUCAUCUACUUUCUUCACUAGCUCUGGCACUGUGCACCUUCUGGUUCUUCCCUAGAGUUAAAAUGACCAUGCAAGGGAAACAUUCUGAAUCUAUGCAGGUUAUCAAGGCAGCCGUGACAGUGUAUGAAAUGAAAGAGGAAUUACAGACGUUCUGCAGAAAGUGAUGGGAAGACUGAGGGUCAGAGAGGUGAAGAACUUAGAAUCAUUCAUCCAGCAAAUGGCAGACCCAACGGUGGACUCCAGGCUCACUGGCUCCAGGAUCUGUGGCCUUAACCACUGUCCCAUGGGGCAUUCCUGCUGGAAGAGUCCAAGUUAUUCUGGCUGCAGGUUGGAGGACACUCUGCCAGUAGAAAGGGUGUACAAGAGAACAGUUACACUGCUCCACAGAUCAAGUUCCCGAGUGGUGUGUGAACUGAGCUGGUAGUGGUAUGCCUGGAAAGAGCAGAGUUUGAAUACUGAGGAAAUGAAAUCAGCACAGCCAGGAGCCAAAGUGAAUGUGUGGAGG